UAUCAUUUUUAGUUAGUUAAAUUCAAUGUUUAUGGCUCUUUUUAUAAAAUGUUGCUUAGGAAAAUGACUCCAUUUUAAACUAGAGCUAUAAUUUGUAGCAGACAAUAUUAGACACUUACCUGUACUCAAAUACAGUCAGAAGUGCCUGCAAAUUUACUUUCCUCUGAAGCAGCCCUUGACCAAUUAGUGACAAAUGUAGAGUAUGAAGUUCCAGCUCCCUUGUCUGGGAGUAAGAGUAAGAGCUAGUGACAGUCACAUCACCAGAAUUAACUUAACUUCUAUGGUUCCCAACAAGAUCAAGUCGAAGCUUCCCCCUGUGGGACUUUGCAUGAAAUCAUAUCCUUUUUUUUUUUUUUUUUUUUUUUUUUUUUUGAGACGGAGUCUCGCUCUGUCGCCCAGGCCGGACUGCGGACUGCAGUGGCGCAAUCUCGGCUCACUGCAAGCUCCGCUUCCCGGGUUCACGCCAUUCUCCUGCCUCAGCCUCCCGAGUAGCUGGGACUACAGGCGCCCGCCACCGCGCCCGGCUAAUUUUUUGUAUUUUUAGUAGAGACGGGGUUUCACCUUGUUAGCCAGGAUGCUCUCGAUCUCCUGACCUCAUGAUCCACCCGCCUCGGCCUCCCAAAGUGCUGGGAUUACAGGCGUGAGCCACCGUGCCCGGCCGAAAUCAUAUCCUUAAUUGGUUCCCAUCCUUCCCUGUCCUUCUUUCCCCACUUCCCUGCCAGUGUCCCCUGGGAGAACUUGUACAAUAAAUUACUUGCACACAAACCCUGCCCCUGAGUCAGCUCCUAGAGAACCCUAUCUAAGACCAUUGUAUCCCAAAUGUCCUGGGCCUCACUAGCUUAUAGAUCAUAAAAUAAAAUUACAUUCUUUUUAUACCACAAAAAUUAUAGCAUAUGCCUCCUUUUAUUCUGUUAUUCAUUCAAAAGAUAAACUGUGCUAAGAGCUGGGGAUAGAAAGGUAAACAUAAUUUCUAUCUUUGCAGAGAUUAAACUCCAGGUCUGAGAGCCAGAUAACAGCCCUCCUCAAGAUAACCAGCUGAAUAUGGAUUGGAUAUUAAAUAUUAUAGAACUAUUGUCAUUUUAGAUAACAAUAUUGUGUAUGUACAGAACAUUCUUAUUUUUAAAGUGAUCAUGCUGGUACACAUAGGAGUGAUUUAUGAUAGCCGCAACCUACUUUCAAAUGGUUCCACCAAAUAUUAGAUGUAGAAAGGGAUAAAGCAAAUAUGGCAAAAUGUUAACAACUGUUCAAUAUAGGUGGACGGUAUACAAAUAUUCACUGCACAAUUUUUUUCAUUUUUCUGGUGCCUAAAAUUUUUCAAACUAAAGAGAUCGGAAUGAACAAGAUCAUGGGACCCCAUGAUGGGUAUAGGCCCUCACCAAGGAGUAAUAUCAACAAUUCCCAGAUGCCCAUUUAUCAUCCCUUUGUAGUUAUUAUAAAUACAAGAUACACCACUGAUGACUAAAAGAACUUACAUUUAGAUGGAUGUAUGCUUCAGACCUUAAUUAUGAAGAUUUUAGAAAAACAUAUCACUUUUCUCAAGUAGCUCCUAAAGUUAUGUCACUCAAGAAAUAUAUGGCUUUCUUUAAACUUGAGCCACUUCCAGAUAUUCCUUUGUUCAUAAAAUUGGCUUAAGCAUUUGUGAAGGCUUGAGGCGUCAUUUGCCUCUUGCCAGUAUCAAAUGAGGUAUUGCAGCUGUGAUGAACACUUCUGUGAGAGUUCACUCUGUGGAAGUUCACUUCUGUGGGAGUUCAAGGUCACCUUAUGCUAACAGCUCUCCACCUCAAGCAUUCACUGCCUGUCCCUUCCAUCCAUUCCCCCUCCCUCUUCAUCUUCUUCAUCUGAAGGGAAAAGGAGGGGCUCUCAGAAGUCAAGCAAGAGCUGGUCACUUACCUCCUUGAGGUUUAUUAUAAAAU
rnacentral:lncRNA from 10 species